GUUGAACGCUGGCGGCAUGCCUUACACAUGCAAGUCGAACGGUAACAGGUCUUCGGAUGCUGACGAGUGGCGAACGGGUGAGUAAUACAUCGGAACGUGCCCAGUCGUGGGGGAUAACGAAGCGAAAGCUUUGCUAAUACCGCAUACGAUCUACGGAUGAAAGCGGGGGAUCGCACGACCUCGCGCGAUUGGAGCGGCCGAUGGCAGAUUAGGUAGUUGGUGGGGUAAAGGCUUACCAAGCCUACGAUCUGUAGCUGGUCUGAGAGGACGACCAGCCACACUGGGACUGAGACACGGCCCAGACUCCUACGGGAGGCAGCAGUGGGGAAUUUUGGACAAUGGGCGCAAGCCUGAUCCAGCAAUGCCGCGUGCAGGAAGAAGGCCUUCGGGUUGUAAACUGCUUUUGUACGGAGCGAAAAGGCUCUCUCUAAUACAGGGGGCUCAUGACGGUACCGUAAGAAUAAGCACCGGCUAACUACGUGCCAGCCGCCGCUGUAA
rnacentral:rRNA from 1 species